rnacentral:rRNA from 1 species
GGGUGCGAUCAUACCAACACUAAAGCACCGGAUCCCAUCAGAACUCCGAAGUUAAGCGUGUUUGGGCGAGAGUAGUACUAGGAUGGGUGACCCCCUGGGAAGUCCUCGUGUUGCACCCC